rnacentral:rRNA from 1 species
GUAGGUGGCAAGCGUUGUCCGGAAUUAUUGGGCGUAAAGCGCGCGCAGGCGGUUCUUUAAGUCUGAUGUGAAAGCCCACGGCUCAACCGUGGAGGGUCAUUGGAAACUGGAGAACUUGAGUACAGAAGAGGAAAGCGGAAUUCCACGUGUAGCGGUGAAAUGCGUAGAGAUGUGGGGGAACACCAGUGGCGAAGGCGGCUUUCUGGUCUGUAACUGACGCUGAGGCGCGAAAGCGUGGGGAGCAAACAGGGAUUAGAUACCCUGGUAGUCCACGCCGUAAACGAUGAGUGCUAAGUGUUAGGGGGGUUUUCCCGCCCCCUUAGUGCUGCAGCUAACGCAUUAAGCACUCCGCCUGGGGAGUACGGCCGCAUGGCUG